AGAGUUUGAUCCUGGCUCAGGACGAACGCUGGCGGCACGCUUAACACAUGCAAGUCGAACGGAGUUAUUUGGAGCUUGCUUUGAAUAACUUAGUGGCGGACGGGUGAGUAACACGUGAGCAAUCUGCCCUUAAGAGGGGGAUAGCAGUUAGAAAUGACUGAUAAUACCGCAUAAGAUAGUAGUACCGCAUGGUACAGCUAUAAAAGAUUUUAUCGCUUAAGGAUGAGCUCGCGUCUGAUUAGCUGGUUGGUGAGGUAACGGCUCACCAAGGCAACGAUCAGUAGCCGGACUGAGAGGUUGGACGGCCACAUUGGGACUGAGACACGGCCCAGACUCCUACGGGAGGCAGCAGUGGGGAAUAUUGCACAAUGGAGGGAACUCUGAUGCAGCGAUGCCGCGUGAGGGAAGAAGGUUUUAGGAUUGUAAACCUCUGUUGACAGGGACGAUAAUGACGGUACCUGUUGAGGAAGCUCCGGCUAACUACGUGCCAGCAGCCGCGGUAAUACGUAGGGAGCGAGCGUUGUCCGGAAUUACUGGGUGUAAAGGGAGCGUAGGCGGGAUUGCAAGUCAGGUGUGAAAUGCAGGGGCUCAACCCCUGAACUGCACUUGAAACUGUAGUUCUUGAGUGAAGUAAAGGUAAGCGGAAUUCCUAGUGUACCGGUGAAAAUGCGUAAAUUUUAGGAGGAACAUCAGUGGGCAAAGGCGGCUUACUGGGCUUUAACUGACGCUGAGGCUCCAAAGCGUGGGGAGCAACAGGAUUAAAUACCCUUGGUAGUUCCACCCCGUAAACGAUGAUUCCCUAGGGUGUGGGGGGACUGACCCCUUCCGUGCCGCAGCUAACGCAAUAAGUGAUCCACCUUGGGGAGUACGACCGCAAGGUUGAAACUCAAAGGAAUUGACGGGGGCCCGCACAAGCAGUGGAGUAUGUGGAUUAAUUCGAAGCAACGCGAAGAACCUUACCAGGUCUUGACAUCGUACGCAUAUCUAAGAGAUUAGAGAAAUCCCUUCGGGGACGUAUAGACAGGUGGUGCAUGGUUGUCGUCAGCUCGUGUCGUGAGAUGUUGGGUUAAGUCCCGCAACGAGCGCAACCCUUACUGUUAGUUGCUACGCAAGAGCACUCUAGCAGGACUGCCGUUGACAAAACGGAGGAAGGUGGGGAUGACGUCAAAUCAUCAUGCCCCUUAUGACCUGGGCCUCACACGUACUACAAUGGCUGCCAACAGAGGGAAGCGAAGCAGUGAUGCAGAGCAGAACCCCAAAAGCAGUCUUAGUUCGGAUUGCAGGCUGAAACUCGCCUGCAUGAAGUCGGAAUUGCUAGUAAUCGCAGAUCAGCCUGCUGCGGUGAAUACGUUCCCGGGCCUUGUACACACCGCCCGUCACGCCAUGGGAGUCGGUAACACCCGAAGCCUGUAGCCCAACCGCAAGGAGGACGCAGUCGAAGGUGGGAUUGAUGACUGGGGUGAAGUCGUAACAAGGUAGCCGUAUCGGAAGGUGCGGCUGGAUCACCUCCUUUCU
rnacentral:rRNA from 1 species